GACGUGCUAAUCUGCGAUAAGCGUCGGUGAGGUGAUAUGAACCGUUAUAACCGGCGAUUUCCGAAUGGGGAAACCCAGUGUGUUUCGACACACUAUCAUUAACUGAAUCCAUAGGUUAAUGAGGCGAACCGGGGGAACUGAAACAUCUAAGUACCCCGAGGAAAAGAAAUCAACCGAGAUUCCCCCAGUAGCGGCGAGCGAACGGGGAGGAGCCCAGAGCCUGAAUCAGUGUGUGUGUUAGUGGAAGCGUCUGGAAAGGCGCGCGAUACAGGGUGACAGCCCCGUACACAAAAAUGCACAUAUUGUGAGCUCGAUGAGUAGGGCGGGACACGUGGUAUCCUGUCUGAAUAUGGGGGGACCAUCCUCCAAGGCUAAAUACUCCUGACUGACCGAUAGUGAACCAGUACCGUGAGGGAAAGGCGAAAAGAACCCCGGCGAGGGGAGUGAAAAAGAACCUGAAACCGUGUACGUACAAGCAGUGGGAGCCUCUUAAUGGGGUGACUGCGUACCUUUUGUAUAAUGGGUCAGCGACUUAUAUUCUGUAGCAAGGUUAACCGAAUAGGGGAGCCGAAGGGAAACCGAGUCUUAACUGGGCGUUAAGUUGCAGGGUAUAGACCCGAAACCCGGUGAUCUAGCCAUGGGCAGGUUGAAGGUUGGGUAACACUAACUGGAGGACCGAACCGACUAAUGUUGAAAAAUUAGCGGAUGACUUGUGGCUGGGGGUGAAAGGCCAAUCAAACCGGGAGAUAGCUGGUUCUCCCCGAAAGCUAUUUAGGUAGCGCCUCGUGAAUUCAUCUCCGGGGGUAGAGCACUGUUUCGGCAAGGGGGUCAUCCCGACUUACCAACCCGAUGCAAACUGCGAAUACCGGAGAAUGUUAUCACGGGAGACACACGGCGGGUGCUAACGUCCGUCGUGAAGAGGGAAACAACCCAGACCGCCAGCUAAGGUCCCAAAGUCAUGGUUAAGUGGGAAACGAUGUGGGAAGGCCCAGACAGCCAGGAUGUUGGCUUAGAAGCAGCCAUCAUUUAAAGAAAGCGUAAUAGCUCACUGGUCGAGUCGGCCUGCGCGGAAGAUGUAACGGGGCUAAACCAUGCACCGAAGCUGCGGCAGCGACACUAUGUGUUGUUGGGUAGGGGAGCGUUCUGUAAGCCUGUGAAGGUGGCCUGUGAGGG
rnacentral:rRNA from 1 species